rfam:Dipodomys ordii contig_55488, whole genome shotgun sequence.
UUCCAUAGAUCAAACCUAGAAAUCAAAAAGCUGAACUGAGGCUUUGACUCUGUGUUAGAAUAAUAUCUAUUCUUUUCCUCUGCAUUCAAAUGGGUAUUUCACAUUUGAAAUAUAUUCAGAAAAUCAGCACAUCA